rnacentral:rRNA from 1 species
GAUGAACGCUGGCGGCGUGCCUAAUACAUGCAAGUCGAGCGAACAGACGAGGAGCUUGCUCCUCUGAUGUUAGCGGCGGACGGGUGAGUAACACGUGGAUAACCUACCUAUAAGACUGGGAUAACUUCGGGAAACCGGAGCUAAUACCGGAUAACAUGUUGAACCGCAUGGUUCAACAGUGAAAGACGGUCUUGCUGUCACUUAUAGAUGGAUCCGCGCCGCAUUAGCUAGUUGGUAAGGUAACGGCUUACCAAGGCAACGAUGCGUAGCCGACCUGAGAGGGCGAUCGGCCACACUGGAACUGAGACACGGUCCAGACUCCUACGGGAGGCAGCAGUAGGGAAUCUUCCGCAAUGGGCGAAAGCCUGACGGAGCAACGCCGCGUGAGUGAAGAAGGUCUUCGGAUCGUAAAACUCUGUUAUUAGGGAAGAACAAAUGUGUAAGUAACUAUGCACGUCUUGACGGUACCUAAUCAGAAAGCCACGGCUAACUACGUG